UGAAGAUCAAAGAAGAUGGGGGUAUUUUGACCCAAUUUUUCGGGCGUGUCUUCUUCAUAGUUAGUGAGACCAGGUUGGCCGCAUAGUUCACUUGUCGUGCAGCCCGCACCCAUUUGUGGUGUUCGAGGAGACUCUUCAGUCGAAUUAGGCUAACUGUAGGGAAAAUACACACAUGGUGGUGACUUCGAUCUAGUGUUGAUACAGUCGAUUACCUCCUUGAAAUCAAAUUAAAAAAAUAACUUUCACCUAGUCUUGUUGAACUGUGAAAUUGAAAGCAUGGACCACAGCUUGAGCAUGGAUCUAAUCUAAGAGAAAUAUUUGUAGGAAGCUUACACAUAAGAAACUUUUGAUUGGAACGCUGUCGACAACCUGCUCCUCGAAAGCAUGGAUCUCAUUUACCUCGUGAUACAACAAACCAAGGAAUAAUGAGGUUAACGGAACUACGUGACCCCGCACAAUCACAAGAAUCGAAGGCAGCAUGCGUCUAUGUUCUUACAGACAUAUCAUAGCUUCGAACUUGCAGUUUGAUUCCUAGAAUUUAUGCCAAAAAUGUUUAAUCCAUUCGUUGAAAUGAAUCGCCUUACUCAAGGAAGUAGGGGCUCAAUUCUGCAGCACUUUGAAUAUCUCAACAUCAGCCACAUGUAUAGUGAAAGGGAUCUACGUUCCCCAAGAUAGAAAAAUGCAUAAUGUUGGCCACAUCCUCCAAGGUAGGGGUGAAUUCGCCUAAGCGCAGACGAAGGUGUGGGCUUCUGUGCUCCAGCGUCUAACCAUAAGCCUAAAGAAGUCUAGUUCCACAUGGAUUACUUCCUUCUUUGUCAAGAAGACAAAGUCCAGUACCUUUUUACUCUUCAAUACCUCACACUAAUUCGAGAAUCCAAGCUCGGGGUUUACCCACUUGGCCCAGCCAGUAGUUUCACCGCACGAGAAGUCGAAAUGAAUACGGAUCGCAAGAAACAUCCCACUUUUUAUACAGCAACGUGAAAUACAUCUAGGAUUGAUAAGAGGUGCCAACUCUAGGGAAGACUCUUCCUUCUUAAAGCUUUAUUUUAAGGACCAAAGGGAGGAGGCGGCUUUACUGCAGUCAAGCACUUUGAGGAUUCCAGAGCCAUGGUUUGCUUAUAGGACAUGAACGUUAAACUAUAAAAUGCCGCAAUCCACCAAGCCAUGUAAGAUAAGCCACCCAAACAUAUUGAAAAGAAGCACAACAGGGCAAAAGGUGAGAAUCUAGCCUAGGAAGACAAGAAAAUAUGCCUAGAGGAAAUUAGAAUCUUUAGAAACUCAAACAUACACAUGCAAAAGCCCAAGACUUUAACAUUUGACUAGCCUCCCUACAUGCUAUCAUGCAGAACGUGCCCAUGCCAUGCCAACCAGCCACAAAAUAUAGAAAAUCUGAGAAACGAAUGCUAUACAAAGAUCCAAGCCAAACAAUGUAAUCAAUUAAUCAUGUUUGAUUAUACACCAAGAAGCAAUCAAGCGAGGCUAAGUGACAAUCGUGCAAUAUGCAUGACAAGCAAGAAGUCUACAAAGGCAAGCAUGCAAAGUUUCAAAGUUGAAAACCAGGAAUAUGAAUUAUAUUUCGUGAGGGAAAAUUGCACCCUUCGCCUAUAAAACCCUAAAGUGUUCCUAGUGUGCAAGGAGAAAAUGGGUAGGAAUGUGUUCAAAAUCCACCACCAAAGCCUUCAAGAAAAUACGAAAAGAAAAAGGUAAAACUUUUCCUCACCUGAGAGGAGCUCGUCGCAAAAGACAGCAAAACACAAGCAAAGCACACAGGAAGUCCGAAAUACAGAGGAUGAUGAGCGAUAGAGGAAGAAAGAUGGAGCAUAGAGGAAUUUGAAAAAAAAAAGAGUUAGAUAAGAAAAGAAGAAGUAAUGACAAAUUAAAUGCUUGUUUUGGAGAGAUGGGAAGUUUAAAACGAUUACAGUAAAAGGGUAAGGGAAUACCUAGCCUUCAGAUGAUGAGACAUGCACGGGAAACAAGGGCGCACAUCGUCACGAUGCCAUUUGUAGCCAUGUGGGAAGGGGAAAAGUCCCAUCAUGAAGGCUAUCUUUAAAAUAUUCGUUUAGGCCUGGGUUUGAUUGCUUAGCCUAUUCAAGAUUUUUCAUAGCCCAAACAAUCAAGGGGAUAAUGUUGAGGCCCAAAAUUGUCAUGAGCUAGGCCAACUGCCAUGAAAGCACCAAGUCAAGCCGAAACACAUGUAAAGGUGCGAGAUCAAGGAAUGAAUAUAUUCACGACCAUGUCAUGCUAUGGUAAUUAGGUUAUACAUUUAUAUAAAUCAUGUCAUGCCCAUACCUAUUUGUCCCGCUAAAAUAAGCCCAAGUCACAUGCUCGAGGCCUGUCAAGUGCAUUGUAGUGUGGAUGGUUACGAGAGUUUAUGAGGCCAUGUGGAGUCAAGGUUAUAGAGGACUUUGGGAUGCUUGGGGGGGCCUAAAAAUUAAAGCCCAUAAUCCUUGUAGCCCACAUAGG
rnacentral:lncRNA from 1 species